AGUGAACGCUGGCGGUAGGCCUAACACAUGCAAGUCGAACGGCAGCACAGUAAGAGCUUGCUCUUACGGGUGGCGAGUGGCGGACGGGUGAGGAAUACAUCGGAAUCUACUUUUUCGUGGGGGAUAACGUAGGGAAACUUACGCUAAUACCGCAUACGACCUACGGGUGAAAGCAGGGGAUCUUCGGACCUUGCGCGAUUGAAUGAGCCGAUGUCGGAUUAGCUAGUUGGCGGGGUAAAGGCCCACCAAGGCGACGAUCCGUAGCUGGUCUGAGAGGAUGAUCAGCCACACUGGAACUGAGACACGGUCCAGACUCCUACGGGAGGCAGCAGUGGGGAAUAUUGGACAAUGGGCGCAGGCCUGAUCCAGCCAUACCGCGUGGGUGAAGAAGGCCUUCGGGUUGUAAAGCCCUUUUGUUGGGAAAGAAGAGCAGCAGGUUAACACCCCGCUGUUCUGACGGUACCCAAAGAAUAAGCACCGGCUAACUUCGUG
rnacentral:rRNA from 1 species